rnacentral:rRNA from 1 species
AACGAACGCUGGCGGCAUGCCUUACACAUGCAAGUCGAACGCGAAAGCGUCUUCGGACAUUAGUAGAGUGGCAAACGGGUGAGUAACGCGUGGGAAUAUACCUUAUAGUAUGGAAUAGCCUCGGGAAACUGGGAUUAAUACCAUAUACGCCCUUCGGGGGAAAGAUUUAUCGCUAUAAGAUUAGCCCGCGUCAGAUUAGCUAGUUGGUGGGGUAAUAGCCUACCAAGGCAACGAUCUGUAGCUGGUCUGAGAGGACGACCAGCCACACUGGGACUGAGACACGGCCCAGACUCCUACGGGAGGCAGCAGUGGGGAAUUUUGGACAAUGGGCGCAAGCCUGAUCCAGCCAUGCCGCGUGCAGGAUGAAGGCCUUCGGGUUGUAAACUGCUUUUGUACGGAACGAAAAGGUUUGACUUAAUACGUUGGACUCAUGACGGUACCGUAAGAAUAAGCACCGGCUAACUACGUGCCAGCAGCCGCAGUAA